rnacentral:tRNA from 16 species
GUCGAUGUGGCGGAACGGAAUACGCACUAGCUUGAGGUGCUAGCGCCCUAUUACGGGUAUGCAGGUUCGACUCCUGUCAUCGACACCA